AGAGUUUGAUCCUGGCUCAGGACGAACGCUGGCGGCGUGCCUAAUACAUGCAAGUCGAGCGGACAGAUGGGAGCUUGCUCCCUGAUGUCAGCGGCGGACGGGUGAGUAACACGUGGGUAACCUGCCUGUAAGACUGGGAUAACUCCGGGAAACCGGGGCUAAUACCGGAUGCUUGAUUGAACCGCAUGGUUCAAUUAUAAAAGGUGGCUUCGGCUACCACUUACAGAUGGACCCGCGGCGCAUUAGCUAGUUGGUGAGGUAACGGCUCACCAAGGCGACGAUGCGUAGCCGACCUGAGAGGGUGAUCGGCCACACUGGGACUGAGACACGGCCCAGACUCCUACGGGAGGCAGCAGUAGGGAAUCUUCCGCAAUGGACGAAAGUCUGACGGAGCAACGCCGCGUGAGUGAUGAAGGUUUUCGGAUCGUAAAACUCUGUUGUUAGGGAAGAACAAGUACCGUUCGAAUAGGGCGGUACCUUGACGGUACCUAACCAGAAAGCCACGGCUAACUACGUGCCAGCAGCCGCGGUAAUACGUAGGUGGCAAGCGUUGUCCGGAAUUAUUGGGCGUAAAGCGCGCGCAGGCGGUUUCUUAAGUCUGAUGUGAAAGCCCCCGGCUCAACCGGGGAGGGUCAUUGGAAACUGGGGAACUUGAGUGCAGAAGAGGAGAGUGGAAUUCCACGUGUAGCGGUGUAAUGCGUAGAGAUGUGGAGGAACACCAGUGGCGAAGGCGACUCUCU
rnacentral:rRNA from 1 species